UUGCCCUAGUAACGGCGAGUGAAGCGGCAACAGCUCAAAUUUGAAAUCUGGCCCUCGUGGUCCGAGUUGUAAUUUGCAGAGGAUGCUUUUGGCGCGGUGCCUUCCGAGUUCCCUGGAACGGGACGCCGGAGAGGGUGAGAGCCCCGUACGGUUGGACGCCUAGCCUUUGUAUAGCUCCUUCGACGAGUCGAGUAGUUUGGGAAUGCUGCUCUAAAUGGGAGGUAAAUUUCUUCUAAAGCUAAAUACCGGCCAGAGACCGAUAGCGCACAAGUAGAGUGAUCGAAAGAUGAAAAGCACUUUGAAAAGAGGGUUAAAUAGCACGUGAAAUUGUUGAAAGGGAAGCGUUUGCGACCAGACCUUUUCCGGGCGGAUCAUCCGGUGUUCUCACCGGUGCACUUCUCCCGGUCUAGGCCAGCAUCGGUUUCCUUAGGGGGAUAAAGGCCUGGGGAACGUGGCUCCUUCGGGAGUGUUAUAGCCCCUAGCGUAAUACCCCUCGGGGGACCGAGGACCGCGCUCUAUGCAAGGAUGCUGGCGUAAUGGUCGUCAACGACCCGU
rnacentral:rRNA from 1 species